UAGUAUACAAUUAAUGAAUGUUUAUGAGUGCAAUGAUAACUAUAUUUUCAUGAGGUGAAAGAUGGAUUGUUCUAUUGAACAAGGCGACAGCCGAGUUGAAUGGAACAUUCCAUCUUUCACCGAAUGAAAAUAUUCUUGCCAUUGCAUGAAUAAAAACAUUCAUUAUUUGUUUUAUA